GUGGGUGGAAUAGUAUAACA
rnacentral:miRNA from 1 species